UCAGCAGAACAGCGUGAUGAGGGAGGAGGUAGGAGAGAUCCAGAGACUGUCAUAUUGUGUCUUAUUCAGUGUGUGAUCAGUCAUGUGUUGUGAACUGACAGCAGGUUUUUCUGUCUACCCUCACAGCUCUCUCUGAUUGGUACACAGGACUACACAGGACUCAGUCUCAAACUGAGCCAGUUUAUGAGGAAAUUAAUCACAGACACAAUCUAUUUACUCAUAGAGGGAGUCUCAUCACUGAAGACGCUGAUGAGCUUCUCUCAGAGAGGGUGAAUGAGAUCACACCAGGAAUCUAUCAGGAUAUCUUCACUGGUGGAACGAUACCAGAUUGUGAGACAGGUGCUGAUGCUCUU